rnacentral:lncRNA from 1 species
AGAACGAAGAUUCAGAAGAUGAGAAGAGAACUGAGAGCUUCAAGGAUGAAUCCUCAAGGAGCAAGUCCAGUAAUGAAGAAGAAGUUGAAUCCAAGAAGGAGAAAGCUGAACCGAUGAAAGGAAUAGCUAAAUCUGGUAAUGAAGAAGAAUGUACAAGUCCUAUGACUAACACUUAGAGUAACAACUCUGAUGAUGAAGAAAGUUUAAAAGUUGAAACAACUGCAUCUCCUACAGCUAAAGUC